rnacentral:SRP_RNA from 1 species
GCGGUCAGCCUUGUGCGGCAGAACGCUCCCCAACCCCGUCAGGUCCGGAAGGAAGCAGCGGUAAGGAGAUGGUCUGGGUGCCACAAGACUCUGGCCGCUCAG